UAGCCGCUGGCGGCGUGCCUAAUACAUGCAAGUCGAGCGAAUCUGAGGGAGCUUGCUCCCAAAGAUUAGCGGCGGACGGGUGAGUAACACGUGGGCAACCUGCCUGUAAGACUGGGAUAACUCCGGGAAACCGGGGCUAAUACCGGAGAAUAUCUAUUUAUACAUAUAAUUAGAUUGAAAGAUGGUUCUGCUAUCACUUACAGAUGGGCCCGCGGCGCAUUAGCUAGUUGGUGAGGUAACGGCUCACCAAGGCGACGAUGCGUAGCCGACCUGAGAGGGUGAUCGGCCACACUGGGACUGAGACGCGGCCCAGACUCCUACGGGAGGCAGCAAUAGGGAAUCUUCCGCAAUGGACGAAAGUCUGACGGAGCAACGCCGCGUGAGUGAUGAAGGUUUUCGGAUCGUAAAACUCUGUUGUUAGGGAAGAACAAGUAUCGGAGAAAACUGCCGGUACCUUGACGGUACCUAACCAGAAAGCCACGGCUAACUACGUGCCAGCAGCCGCGGUAAUACGUAGGUGGCAAGCGUUGUCCGGAAUUAUUGGGCGUAAAGCGCGCGCAGGCGGUUCCUUAAGUCUGAUGUGAAAGCCCACGGCUCAACCGUGGAGGGUCAUUGGUUACUGGGGAACGGGAGUGCAGAAGAGGAAAGUGGAAUUCCAAAAAAUGUAGCGGUGAAAUGCGUAGAGAUUUGGAGGAACACCAGUGGCGAAGGCGACUUUCUGGUCUGUAACUGACGCUGAGGCGCGAAAGCGUGGGGAGCAAACAGGAUUAGAUACCCUGGUAGUCCACGCCGUAAACGAUGAGUGCUAAGUGUUAGAGGGUUUCCGCCCUUUAGUGCUGCAGCAAACGCAUUAAGCACUCCGCCUGGGGAGUACGACCGCAAGGUUGAAACUCAAGGAAUUGACAGGGGCCCGCACAAGCGGUGGAGCAUGUGGUUUAAUUCGAAGCAACGCGAAGACCUUACCAGUCUUACUGAGGGAAU
rnacentral:rRNA from 2 species